AUUGAACGCUGGCGGCGUGCUUAACACAUGCAAGUCGAACGAAGUUGCGAACGGGUGAGUAACGCGUAAUCAACCUGCCCUUCAGAGGGGGACAACAGUUUGAAACGACUGCUAAUACCGCAUACUGAAGGAGGGGCUUGCGUCUGAUUAGCUAGUUGGAGGGGUAACGGCCCACCAAGGCGAUGAUCAGUAGCCGGUCUGAGGGGAUGAACGGCCACAUGGGGACUGGGACAAGGCCCAGACUCCUAAGGGGGGCAGAAGUGGGGAAUCUGCCGCAAUGGACGAAAGUCUGACGGAGCAACGCCGCGUGAGUGAUGACGGCCUUCGGGUUGUAAAGCUCUGUUAAUCGGGACGCGGUACCGGAAUAGAAAGCCACGGCUAACUCCGUGCCAGCAGCCGCGGUAAUUC
rnacentral:rRNA from 1 species